UACGUAGGGAGCGAGCGUUGUCCGGAAUUACUGGGCGUAAAGGGCGCGUAGGUGGGAAAUUAAGUCAUGGGUGAAAACUGCAGGCUCAACCUGGAGGCUGCCUAUGAAACUGAUUUUCUUGAGGGCAGGAGAGGAAAGUGGAAUUCCUAGUGUAGCGGUGAAAUGCGUAGAUAUUAGGAGGAACACCAGUGGCGAAGGCGACUUUCUGGACUGACCCUGACACUGAGGCGCGAAAGCUAGGGGAGCGAACGGG
rnacentral:rRNA from 1 species